rnacentral:rRNA from 1 species
UACGGGGGGGGCAAGCGUUGUUCGGAAUUACUGGGCGUAAAGGGCUCGUAGGCGGCCAACUAAGUCAGACGUGAAAUCCCUAGGCCUCAACCUAGGAACUGCGUCUGAUACUGGAUGGCUUGAAUCCGGGAGAGGGAUGCAGAAUUCCAGGUGUAGCGGUGAAAUGCGUAGAUAUCUGGAGGAAUACCGGUGGCGAAGGCGGCAUCCUGGACCGGCAUUGACGCUGAGGCGCGAAAGCCAGGGGAGCAAACGGG